AUUGAACGCUGGCGGCAUGCCUUACACAUGCAAGCCGAACGGUAACGCGGGGCAACCUGGCGACGAGUGGCGAACGGGUGAGUAAUGCAUCGGAACGUGCCCAGUAGUGGGGGAUAGCCUGGCGAAAGCCGGAUUAAUACCGCAUACGACCUACGGGUGAAAGGGGGGGAUCGCAAGACCUCCCGCUAUUGGAGCGGCCGAUGUCAGAUUAGCUAGUUGGUGGGGUAAAAGCCUACCAAGGCGACGACCUGUAGCUGGUCUGAGAGGACGACCAGCCACACUGGGACUGAGCCACGGCCCAGACGCCCACGGGAGGCAGCAGUGGGGAAUUUUGGACAAUGGGCGCAAGCCUGAUCCAGCCAUGCCGGGUGCGGGAAGAAGGCCUUCGGGUUGUAAACCGCUUUUGUCAGGGAAGAAAUCUUCUGAGUUAAUACCUCGGGAGGAUGACGGUACCUGAAGAAUAAGCACCGGCUAACUACGUGCCAGCCGCCGCCGUAA
rnacentral:rRNA from 1 species